AAAAGUUGAAAUUUUGUGACUUUUCAAACUCCAAAGUUUCAAAUUCCAAGUGUUUUUCAAGAUCAUUUUUGACAUCUCAAAAUUGUUCUUUUUUUUUUUGUUUGGCGGAAAUUUACACUUUUUUUUUUUUCUCCAUCUACAAUGGCCCUAAUGGGGCCCCGUAACUCCCAUAUUGGCGCUCUGUAAUUUACACCCAGGCUGUACCGCUGGCGGCGAGUCGGUGUCCCAGACUCCUACGCUGUGGACGAAUCAGGACGCCGACGCCACGAUGCAGUGCGGCCACACAAAGGGCAGCACGUACCGCCUGAUGUACUGGUACCAGCAGCUGCCGGGUCAGAACAUUAAGCUGAUCGUUUUCACCACGGCGUACAGCACACCCGAGUACGACCCGGGCUUCACGGAGGAGAAGUUUCCGGCGCAGAAGAAGAACGCGGAGACGGGAUCUCUGACGGUGAAGGAGGUGAAGCCUGAAGACAGCGGAGUGUAUUUCUGUUCUGUCAGUGAGACACAGUGACCCAGCUGAUUAAAGGAGCUGCACAAAAACCCGGCUGAGACCCAGAGAACGGAAAUAUAUUGUUUUGAGCUGCCUCUAGAGGGCGCUAUAGACCACAUUACACAUCACUAAUACCUUCUAGGAGAGGUUACUGACUACAAUGGGUUUAUUUUGACUGUAUAUUUCUCUAUGUGCCAUCAAAUAUACAUCACUGCCAAUAAAACACAGCAAUUCAACGUGACAAAAGUUAAUCAGAUACGAAUGCUUAUUGCAAGACUGCAAUAUGCGCUUCUUUUUUUUUCUCCAGAUUUUGCUUUAUUUGGUUGCUGGAGUUGUUCAUUUCUUUUUAAGAAUGAAAUCCAUAAAAAAAAUAAUGGUGGCCAACAAAAGUUGUUUCAUGGAACAAGUAAAAUUUAACCCUCAGGAUGCAACAGGCUAAAAAGCAUGUUUUGUGUUUUUGUUUCAUUAUCAUGAA